rnacentral:rRNA from 1 species
UACGGAGGGAGCUAGCGUUGUUCGGAAUUACUGGGCGUAAAGCGCACGUAGGCGGCUUUGUAAGUUAGAGGUGAAAGCCCGGGGCUCAACCCCCGGAAUUGCCUUUAAGACUGCAUCGCUUGAAUCCGGGAGAGGUGAGUGGAAUUCCGAGUGUAGAGGUGAAAAUUCGUAGAUAUUCGGAAGAACACCAGUGGCGAAGGCGGCUCACUGGACCGGUAUUGACGCUGAGGUGCGAAAGCGUGGGGAGCAAACAGG